rnacentral:rRNA from 1 species
CAGCUAAUUAGCUAGCCUACCUAACAACCCAAUCAAAUACUUCUACUAACCCCUAAUACACUAAAAAUAUUCAACUAAACCAUUCAUCUUCCCUAGUAUAGGCGAUAGAAAAGGAAUAAAAGAGCAACAGAUAUCAGUACCGCAAGGGAAAGCUGAAAGAGAGGUGAAAAAGACCAAUAAAGCUAAGAAAAGCAGAGAUUACCCCUCGUACCUUUUGCAUCAUGAUUUAGCUAGCAACAUUAAGCGAAGAGCACUUUAGUUUAAUACCCCGAAACUAGCGUGAGCUACUCCAAGACAGCCUAUUAUAGGGCAAACCCGUCUCUGUGGCAAAAGAGUGGGAAGAGCUUUGAGUAGAAGUGACAGACCUAUCGAACCUAGUUAUAGCUGGUUGCCUGUGAAAUGAAUAGAAGUUCAGCCUCCCAGCUUCUCUCUUCACCUAUUGUACACACAAAACAAUGAUUUAGAGAAACUGUGAGAGUUAGUCAAAGGAGGAACAGCUCCUUUGAAACAAGAUACAACUUUUUUAACUGGGUAAAGAUCAUAUUAUUUAAAGUAAAAAAUCUCAGUGGGCCUGAAAGCAGCCACCCAAAAGAAAGCGUUAAAGCUCAGAUACACAAAAAACUAUUUAUUUAGAUAAACCAAUCUUAACCCCUUAGCCUUUAACGGGCCGUUCCAUACUAUUAUGGAAGUGAUUAUGCUAAAAUGAGUAAUAAGAGAGCUUAAGGCUCUCUCCUGGCACAAGUGUAAACCGGAAAGGACUUCCCGCCGGAAAUUAACGUCCCCAAAAAAAGAGGGAAUUGAGUACUUUAGAAAACUACAAGAAGACUACUCAAAAUUAAACCGUUAACCCUACACAGGAGUGCUCUUUUAAGGAAAGACUAAAAGAAGGAGAAGGAACUCGGCAAAACAAGCCUCGCCUGUUUACCAAAAACAUCGCCUCUUGCAAAAAUAAAGAAUAAGAGGUCCCACCUGCCCGGUGACACCAAUUUAACGGCCGCGGUAUCCUGACCGUGCGAAGGUAGCGUAAUCAUUUGUCUUUUAAAUGGGGACUUGUAUGAAUGGUAUAACGAGGGCUUAACUGUCUCCUCCCUCUUGUCAAUGAAAUUGAUCUCCCCGUGCAGAAGCGGGGAUACUCUCAUAAGACGAGAAGACCCUAUGGAGCUUUAGAUACUAAGGUAGACCAUAUUCCAUAACCCCUUGUUAAAGGAGUAAAUCUAUGCUAAUCCUACCCCUAUAUCUUCGGUUGGGGCGACAAUGGGGAAAUAAAAAUCCCCCAUGCGGAACGGGAAAAUUUUAUCUAAGAAAUUAUUCUUACCAUAAAGCUACUUCCCCAAAUUAAGAGUGACAACUCUAAAUUACAGUAUUUCUGACCAUAAAUGAUCCGGCAUUUGCCGAUUAACGGACCAAGUUACCCUAGGGAUAACAGCGCAAUCCCCUUUUAGAGCCCACAUCAACAAGGGGGUUUACGACCUCGAUGUUGGAUCAGGACAUCCUAUUGGUGCAGCCGCUAUUAAGGGUUCGUUUGUUCAACGAUUAAAGUCCUACGUGAUCUGAGUUCAGACCGGAGUAAUCCAGGUCAGUUUCUAUCUAUGUAGUAUUCUUUUCUAGUACGAAAGGACCGAAAAGAAGAG